rnacentral:rRNA from 1 species
GAUGAACGCUAGCGAUAGGCCUAACACAUGCAAGUCGAGGGGCAUCACAUGAAGUAGCAAUACGGAUGGUGGCGACCGGCGCACGGGUGAGUAACACGUAUGCAACCUGCCUUCAACAAGGGGAUAACCCGUUGAAAGACGGACUAAUACCCUAUAACACAGGGGUCCCGCAUGGGAAUAUUUGUUAAAGGACAACCGGUUGAAGAUGGGCAUGCGUUCCAUUAGCUAGUUGGCGGGGUAACGGCCCACCAAGGCAACGAUGGAUAGGGGAACUGAGAGGUUUAUCCCCCACACUGGUACUGAGACACGGACCAGACUCCUACGGGAGGCAGCAGUGAGGAAUAUUGGUCAAUGGACGCAAGUCUGAACCAGCCACGUCGCGUGAAGGAAGACGGCCCUACGGGUUGUAAACUUCUUUUAACGGGAAUAAAGUGCCCCACGCGUGGGGUUUUGCAUGUACCGUAUGAAUAAGGAUCGGCUAACUCCGUG